rnacentral:tRNA from 2 species
GGGCCCGUAGCUCAGCCGGAUAGAGCGUCGGUCUACGAAACCGAAGGUCACAGGUUCGAAUCCUGUCGGGCCCG